CACUAUCGUUAACUGAAUACAUAGGUUAACGAGGCGAACCGGGGGAACUGAAACAUCUAAGUACCCCGAGGAAAAGAAAUCAACCGAGAUUCCCCCAGUAGCGGCGAGCGAACGGGGAGCAGCCCAGAGUCUGAAUCAGCUUGUGUGUUAGUGGAACGGUCUGGAAAGUCCGACGGUACAGGGUGAUAGUCCCGUACACCAAAAUGCACAGGUUGUGAACUCGAAGAGUAGGGCGGGACACGUGGUAUCCUGUCUGAAUAUGGGGGGACCAUCCUCCAAGGCUAAAUACUCCUGACUGACCGAUAGUGAACCAGUACCGUGAGGGAAAGGCGAAAAGAACCCCGGCGAGGGGAGUGAAAAAGAACCUGAAACCGUGUACGUACAAGCAGUGGGAGCACCUUCGGGUGUGACUGCGUACCUUUUGUAUAAUGGGUCAGCGACUUAUAUUCUGUAGCAAGGUUAACCGUAUAGGGGAGCCGCAGGGAAACCGAGUCUUAACUGGGCGUUAAGUUGCAGGGUAUAGACCCGAAACCCGGUGAUCUAGCCAUGGGCAGGUUGAAGGUUGGGUAACACUAACUGGAGGACCGAACCGACUAAUGUUGAAAAAUUAGCGGAUGACUUGUGGCUGGGGGUGAAAGGCCAAUCAAACCGGGAGAUAGCUGGUUCUCCCCGAAAGCUAUUUAGGUAGCGCCUCGUGAACUCAUCUUCGGGGGUAGAGCACUGUUUCGGCUAGGGGGUCAUCCCGACUUACCAACCCGAUGCAAACUACGAAUACCGAAGAAUGUUAUCACGGGAGACACACGGCGGGUGCUAACGUCCGUCGUGAAGAGGGAAACAACCCAGACCGCCAGCUAAGGUCCCAAAGUCAUGGUUAAGUGGGAAACGAUGUGGGAAGGCACAGACAGCCAGGAUGUUGGCUUAGAAGCAGCCAUCAUUUAAAGAAAGCGUAAUAGCUCACUGGUCGAGUCGGCCUGCGCGGAAGAUGUAACGGGGCUAAACCAUGCACCGAAGCUGCGGCAGCGACACUAUGUGUUGUUGGGUAGGGGAGCGUUCUGUAAGCCUGCGAAGGUGACCUGUGAGGGUUGCUGGAGGUAUCAGAAGUGCGAAUGCUGACAUAAGUAACGAUAAAGCGGGUGAAAAGCCCGCUCGCCGGAAGACCAAGGGUUCCUGUCCAACGUUAAUCGGGGCAGGGUGAGUCGACCCCUAAGGCGAGGCCGAAAGGCGUAGUCGAUGGGAAACAGGUUAAUAUUCCUGUACUUGGUGUUACUGCGAAGGGGGGACGGAGAAGGCUAUGUUAGCCGGGCGACGGUUGUCCCGGUUUAAGCAUGUAGGCUGGUUGUCCAGGCAAAUCCGGAUAAUCAAGGCUGAGGUGUGAUGACGAGGCACUACGGUGCUGAAGUAACAAAUGCCCUGCUUCCAGGAAAAGCCUCUAAGCAUCAGGUAACAUUAAAUCGUACCCCAAACCGACACAGGUGGUCAGGUAGAGAAUACCAAGGCGCUUGAGAGAACUCGGGUGAAGGAACUAGGCAAAAUGGUGCCGUAACUUCGGGAGAAGGCACGCUGGUGUGUAGGUGAAGUCCCUGCGGAUGGAGCUGAGACCAGUCGAAGAUACCAGCUGGCUGCAACUGUUUAUUAAAAACACAGCACUGUGCAAACACGAAAGUGGACGUAUACGGUGUGACGCCUGCCCGGUGCCGGAAGGUUAAUUGAUGGGGUUAUCCGUAAGGAGAAGCUCUUGAUCGAAGCCCCGGUAAACGGCGGCCGUAACUAUAACGGUCCUAAGGUAGCGAAAUUCCUUGUCGGGUAAGUUCCGACCUGCACGAAUGGCGUAAUGAUGGCCAGGCUGUCUCCACCCGAGACUCAGUGAAAUUGAACUCGCUGUGAAGAUGCAGUGUACCCGCGGCAAGACGGAAAGACCCCGUGAACCUUUACUAUAGCUUGACACUGAACAUUGAGCCUUGAUGUGUAGGAUAGGUGGGAGGCUUUGAAGCGUGGACGCCAGUCUGCGUGGAGCCAACCUUGAAAUACCACCCUUUAAUGUUUGAUGUUCUAACGUUGGCCCCUUACCGGGGUUGCGGACAGUGUCUGGUGGGUAGUUUGACUGGGGCGGUCUCCUCCCAAAGCGUAACGGAGGAGCACGAAGGUUAGCUAAUCCUGGUCGGACAUCAGGAGGUUAGUGCAAUGGCAUAAGCUAGCUUGACUGCGAGCGUGACGGCGCGAGCAGGUGCGAAAGCAGGUCAUAGUGAUCCGGUGGUUCUGAAUGGAAGGGCCAUCGCUCAACGGAUAAAAGGUACUCCGGGGAUAACAGGCUGAUACCGCCCAAGAGUUCAUAUCGACGGCGGUGUUUGGCACCUCGAUGUCGGCUCAUCACAUCCUGGGGCUGAAGUAGGUCCCAAGGGUAUGGCUGUUCGCCAUUUAAAGUGGUACGCGAGCUGGGUUUAGAACGUCGUGAGACAGUUCGGUCCCUAUCUGCCGUGGGCGCUGGAGAAUUGAGGGGGGCUGCUCCUAGUACGAGAGGACCGGAGUGGACGCAUCACUGGUGUUCGGGUUGUCAUGCCAAUGGCACUGCCCGGUAGCUAAAUGCGGAAGAGAUAAGUGCUGAAAGCAUCUAAGCACGAAACUUGCCCCGAGAUGAGUUCUCCCUGAGACUUUAAGUCUCCUGAAGGAACGUU
rnacentral:rRNA from 1 species